UCGUCGUUCUUAUUGGGCCUUAAACGUCCGUAGCCGGUUUGGUACAUUCGUGGGUAAAUCAGACAGCUUAACUGUCUGAAUUCUGCGAGCACGGCCAAACUUGAGACCGGGAGAGGUGUAGGGUACCUGCGGGGUAGGGGUAAAAUCCUGUCAUCCCGUAGGGACCACCAGUUGCGAAGGCUCUACACUAGAACGGAUCUGACGGUCAGGGACGAAGCCUAGGGGCACGAACCGGAUUAGAUACCCGGGUAGUCCUAGGUGUAAACGCUGUGGACUUUGUGUCGGGGAUUCUUCGAGGAUUCUCGGUGUCGGAGUGAAGAUGUUAAGUCCACUGCCUGGGGAGUACGGUCGCAAGGCUGAAACUUAAAGGAAUUGGCGGGGGAGCACUGCAACGAGAGGAGCGUGCGGUUUAAUUGGAUUCAACGCCGGAAAACUCACCAAAGCCGACUGUUAUAUGAAGACCAGCGUAACGAGCUUGUCGGAUUUUCAGAGAGGUAGUGCAUGGCCGUCGUCAGUUCGUACCGUAAGGCGUUCUGUUAAGUCAGAUAACGAACGAGACCCCAUCGUCAUUUGCUAACCCUUUCUCCGGAAAGGGCGCACUAUGGCGAGACCGCUGGCGUGAAGUCAGAAGAAGGCGGGGGCAACGGUAGGUCAGUAUGCUCCGAAUGCUUUGGGCUACACGCGCGCUACAAAGGACGGGACAAUGGGCAGCUACUCCGAGAGGAGAUGCUAUCCCGAAACCCGUUCGUAGUUCGGAUCGUGGGCUGUAACUCGCCCUCGUGAAGCUGGAUUUCGUA
rnacentral:rRNA from 1 species